GUGGGGAAUAUUGGACAAUGGGCGAAAGCCUGAUCCAGCAACGCCGCGUGAGGGAUGACGGCCUUCGGGUUGUAAACCUCUUUCAGCAGGGACGAAGCGAAAGUGACGGUACCUGCAGAAGAAGGACCGGCCAACUACGUGCCAGCAGCCGCGGUAAUACGUAGGGUCCGAGCGUUGUCCGGAAUUAUUGGGCGUAAAGGGCUCGUAGGCGGUCUGUCGCGUCGGGAGUGAAAACUCAGGGCUCAACCCUGAGCGUGCUUCCGAUACGGGCAGACUAUAGGUAUGCAGGGGAGAACGGAAUUCCUGGUGUAGCGGUGGAAUGCGCAGAUAUCAGGAGGAACACCAGUGGCGAAGGCGGUUCUCUGGGCAUUACCUGACGCUGAGGAGCGAAAGCAUGGGGAGCGAACAGGAUUAGAUACCCCAGUAGUCC
rnacentral:rRNA from 1 species